AAAGGGACAGGGCUUGCUGUGGCUGGGCGUCCUGGCCCGUCUCAUCUGAGGCUGGUGGGGAUGUCACACCACAUCGGCCCAGUUUUGGGAGGACCUCAGCUGGUAGACAGCUCCCUGCCCCUCCCUCCCCUUUGCAAUGGGGACAGGCUCGCAGGCCAGAGCUUGACCUCAGAAGCAAGAGGGAGAAGGGCAGACAGGGGUCGGUUGAGCCAGGGUAGAAACCAAGGGGAGCCAGGGUAGAAACCAAGGGGUCAGGGCUGGGCUGGAGGACACGGCUGGGGGAUCUCAUUUCAUGGAUUUUGACCUGUCAAUUUGUAUUUGUGUGUGAAUGUAUUUUAAAACCAACAACAAAAGGAAAGAAAACAGCUACAAGGAGGCCGAAGGGGCCUUUGGGUGACUCACUCUGCCAGGAGCAGUGUGGAUCAAGGACACAUUUGUCAGCGCAUGCCACACACACACACACAUACACACAUGCAUGCACACAUGCACUCACACUGUCACCCGUCCCAGCCAUCUGUGCCACACACAUGCCAUGCACACUCACACUCCCAGUCCC
rnacentral:lncRNA from 1 species